rnacentral:misc_RNA from 1 species
CAAUCUGUGGUUCUUGCUACAACUAAGACCAAGAAACAGAACAAACCUGUGGCUUUGCUUCAUAAGUCUGUCAUGAAGAAGGAGUUCCGCCGGAUGGCCAAGGCUGUGAAAAAUCAGGUUGGGGAUAACUAUUACAGACCUGAUUUAAAGAAUGCAGCUCUUGCAAGGUUAAGUGUUGUGCAUAGGAGUCUGAAGGUUGCUAAAUCUGGUGUCAAGAAGAGAAAUAGACAAGCUCAAAAGACCAGUGCUAGGAAGUGAAUAGUGAGUUGAGAAGGAAAGAUAUUCUCUGUUACUUCUCAACUUUAAUUGACAAGUGGAAAAUUCCCGAAUCCUGUUUUUGUUUUGUUUGUAGGUUGAUUUAUGUUAGAUGCUGAACUAUAGGGCUUGUUAUUUUUCCUGGUUAAUUUUGUGUUGUGAUAUUUUAUAU